rnacentral:rRNA from 1 species
UUCCGGUUGAUCCUGCCGGACCUGACCGCUAUCGGGGUGGGGCUAAGCCAUGCGAGUCGCGCGCCCGGGGCGCCGGGCGCGGCGCACGGCUCAGUAACACGUACCCAACCUAACCUCGGGAGGGGGACAACCCCGGGAAACUGGGGCUGAUCCCCCAUAGGGGAAGGGCGCUGGAAGGCCCCUUCCUCCAAAGGGAUCGCGGGCGAUCUCCCGCGGUCCGCCCGAGGGUGGGGGUACGGCCCAUCAGGUUGUUGGCGGGGUAACGGCCCGCCAAGCCGAAGACGGGUAGGGGCGGUGAGAGCCGUGAGCCCCGAGAUGGGCACUGAGACAAGGGCCCAGGCCCUACGGGGUGCAGCAGGCGCGAAUACUCCGCAAUGCGGGCAACCGCGACGGGGCCACCCCGAGUGCCGGGCGAAGAGCCCGGCUUUUGCCCGGUGUAAGGAGCCGGGCGAAUAAGCGGGGGGUAAGUCUGGUGUCAGCCGCCGCGGUAAUACCAGCCCCGCGAGUGGUCAGGGUGAUUACUGGGCUUAAAGCGCCCGUAGCCGGCCCGGCAAGUCGCUCCUGAAAUCCCCAGGCUCAACCUGGGGGCAGGGGGCGAUACUGCCGGGCUAGGGGGCGGGAGAGGCCGCCGGUACUCCGGGGGUAGGGGCGAAAUCCUAUAAUCCCCGGAGGACCACCAGUGGCGAAAGCGGGCGGCCAGAACGCGCCCGACGGUGAGGGGCGAAAGCCGGGGGAGCAAAGGGGAUUAGAUACCCCUGUAGUCCCGGCCGUAAACGAUGCGGGCUAGCUGUCGGUCGGGCUUAGGGCCCGGCCGGUGGCGUAGGGAAACCGUUAAGCCCGCCGCCUGGGGAGUACGGCCGCAAGGCUGAAACUUAAAGGAAUUGGCGGG